GACAGGGGCGAGCAGGGCUUUGCCUCUGCCUUCCUCUGGCCAUGGAGUUGAACUUAGCUCAGGGUGGGCAAUGAAAGACAUGACUGGCAGAGGAAGAUGCUGCACAUUCCUUUGUUUACCUGCUUUCCUCUCUGUUUACUGCAGCCACCAAGUCCAGAAUAUUCUGGGAGGGUUAUGUAUCACCAAAAAAUAGAGCCUGAGCACCGAGGAAGCAAUGAAAGAGUGUGAGCUGUGAAUGGAACAACAACUGGCAGAGCAGAAGGGUUGGGCAGAUAGACUGUGGUGCUUAAAUAUGUCAGAUCCAGGCUUGGUAUUCUGUGAGGCAUACAGGGCAAGAAGUGCUUAUUCCAUAUUUUUGUUGGUGUUUUUUUUUUGUUUUGUUGUUUGUUUGUUUUAAAGUUAAUUGAUUUU